AUGAAUGAACUUGGAUGGAGUUGUAGCUGGCCUUAGCGAUGGGGCAUGUGCACACUCUGUUCAUUCACACCUUUCACACCUCUGUGCACUUCUCAUGGGGUAGAGGCUUCGUCUGAAACAUGGCAAGGUCUCCUCUCAUGUGUUUCAUACCACACACUUUAAAGUUUUCAGAAUGUAACAAUCAUGCAUCAAUGCAUAUAAUACAACUUUCAGCAACGGAUCUCUUGGCUCUCGCAUCGAUGAAGAACGCAGCGAAAUGCGAUAAGUAAUGUGAAUUGCAGAAUUCAGUGAAUCAUCGAAUCUUUGAACGCACCUUGCGCUCCUUGGUAUUCCGAGGAGCAUGCCUGUUUGAGUGUCAUGGUAUUCUCAACCCCUCUGCAAUUUUUCUGUUGUAGUCGGGCUUGGACUUGGAGGUACACUGCCGGCGUUCAUCUUUUUGAACGCGGGCUCCUCUGAAAUACAUUAGCUGGAAUUUUUACUAAGCAUGAUUCAAUGUGAUAAUUGUCUACGUUGUCUCAACUUGGUAUCAAAUUUGUUUCAGCUUCCAAACGUCCUCGCGGACAAUAUCUGAACAUCUGACCUCAAAUCA
rnacentral:rRNA from 1 species